ACUCCAUGGUGAUGUCAAGAUCUAGUGUUACCUUUCAAUCUUUCCCAUGCUUCAUAGAGAGCUUCAUUUGGACCUUGUUUGAAGCUUGUGAUGUCAUUUCUAAUCU
rfam:Arabis alpina cultivar Pajares Aa.chr2_contig_969, whole genome shotgun sequence.